CCUACGGGAGGCUGCAGUGGGGGAUAUUGCACAAUGGGGGGAACCCUGAUGCAGCGACGCCGCGUGGGUGAAGGAGUGCUUCGGCAUGUAAAGCCCUAUCGUCAGGGAAGAAGCAUGACGGUACCUGACUAAGAAACCCUGGCUAACUACUUUCCAUCAGCCCCGGUAAUACGUGGGGGGCCAGCGUUAUCCGGAUUCACUGGGUGUAACGGGGGCGUAGACUGCCAUGCAAGCAAGGGGGGAAAGCCCCGGGGCCAACCCCAGGAUUGCCCUUGGUACUGUCCGGCUAGAGUGCGGGAGGGGUAGGCGGAAUUCCUGGUGUAGCGGUGAAAUGCGUAGAUAUCAGGAAGAACACCGACGGCGAAGGCAGCCUACU
rnacentral:rRNA from 1 species